rnacentral:rRNA from 1 species
UACGUAGGGUGCAAGCGUUAAUCGGAAUUACUGGGCGUAAAGCGUGCGCAGGCGGUGAUGUAAGACAGAUGUGAAAUCCCCGGGCUCAACCUGGGAACUGCAUUUGUGACUGCAUCGCUGGAGUGCGGCAGAGGGGGAUGGAAUUCCACGUGUAGCAGUGAAAUGCGUAGAGAUGUGGAGGAAUACCGAUGGCGAAGGCAGCCCCCUGGGAUAACACUGACGCUCAUGCACGAAAGCGUGGGGAGCAAACAGG